rnacentral:misc_RNA from 1 species
GAUGAAGAACGUAGCGAAAUGCGAUAAGUAAUGCGAAUUGCAGAAUUUCCGUGAGUCAUCGAAUCUUUGAACGCACAUUGCGCCCACUGGUAUUCCGGUGGGCAUGCCUGUUCGAGCGUCAUUAUCCUCCCUCAAACCUCGGGUUUGGUGUUGGACCCAAGUUGUGUGAACAACUGGUCUUAAAGACAAUGACGGCGUCCGUGGGACCCUCGGUGCAACGAGCUUUUAGGAGCACGCGUCGAGUGUCAAGGACCUUCCGGGCCGGUCUCCUUUACCAUUUUACAAGGUUGACCUCGGAUCAGGUAGGAAUACCCGCUGAACUUAAGCAUAUCAAUAAGCGGAGGA